CUUAAACAUGCAAGUCGAGGGGCAUCAGGAAGAAAGCUUGCUUUCUUUGCUGGCGACCGGCGCACGGGUGAGUAACACGUAUCCAACCUGCCCUUUACUCGGGGAUAGCCUUUCGAAAGAAAGAUUAAUACCCGAUGGGAUAAUUAUUCCGCAUGGUUUGAUUAUUAAAGGAUUCCGGUAAAGGAUGGGGAUGCGUUCCAUUAGGUUGUUGGUGAGGUAACGGCUCACCAAGCCUUCGAUGGAUAGGGGUUCUGAGAGGAAGGUCCCCCACAUUGGAACUGAGACACGGUCCAAACUCCUACGGGAGGCAGCAGUGAGGAAUAUUGGUCAAUGGGCGUUAGCCUGAACCAGCCAAGUAGCGUGAAGGAUGAAGGCUCUAUGGGUCGUAAACUUCUUUUAUAUAAGAAUAAAGUGCAGUAUGUAUACUGUUUUGUAUGUAUUAUAUGAAUAAGGAUCGGCUAACUCCGUGCCAGCAGCCGCGGUAAUACGGAGGAUCCGAGCGUUAUCCGGAUUUAUUGGGUUUAAAGGGAGCGUAGGUGGACUGGUAAGUCAGUUGUGAAAGUUUGCGGCUCAACCGUAAAAUUGCAGUUGAUACUGUCAGUCUUGAGUACAGUAGAGGUGGGCGGAAUUCGUGGUGUAGCGGUGAAAUGCUUAUAUAUCACGAAGAACUCCGAUUGCGAAGGCAGCUCACUGGACUGCAACUGACACUGAUGCUCGAAAGUGUGGGUAUCAAACAGGAUUAGAUACCCUGGUAGUCCACACAGUAAACGAUGAAUACUCGCUGUUUGCGAUAUACAGUAAGCGG
rnacentral:rRNA from 1 species